GGAUCCAACAGCUGCCAUCCUUCAUGAGGUACAUAGCAGGCUCCCCAGGAGCUGUUGACCAUGUGAAGGUAAGGGAACUGCACAUCCUGUCUGGAGAAGAAUGUGUGGGAGAAUGAAGAGCAUGUGUCUGCCAUGCAGCUGAGGAUGAUGGCCAAAGAUGAACUUGUAGCAGCACUGCAAAAGUGCGCUGAGAUCCUAAAACCUGGCAAGAGCAAGAAAAUGAGCGCUACACUGCUCCAACUGGAAGAUUUACUUGCCAAAGUUGACCAGUCGGACAGAAAGUAGCGAUGAGGGUUUUGCUUUACCAUUUUUAUUUUCAUUAAAAUAGCAGACUUUUUAUUUAUAUUUCUAUGGUGGUGAAAUGUACUUUUUGAUUGCUUCGACCCUAUCAGAUGUUGCUGCUGCAGCGGGUGCAGCUGGGGAGAUCAUCUCUUCUCCAAGGAAAGGCCUCCAGAAGAAAACAGACCUGUUCCAACUGCAAAAGGUAACAUUUUUGUAAUGGGAAAGAAAGACCGAAAGACUACACUUCUAAUAUGUACAGUAGUGCCCCUACACGAAUCCCAGUAUGUGUGCUACUAUAGCUCCUCUGCUAUCCUGAAACCCCACCUCAACGCCACGCCAUCCAGACUGCCCUCAGCAACCACUACCUAUACCUGAAGGUAAACAACUUACCACUGAGAGGCUUUGUCUCAAGUGUCUAGUAAACUCCUUUCCUCAUAUCCUCUCCCUAAUCUGGAAAGACUUGAUGGGUGUAAGCAAUUUGGUGGACUACUAUCAGUGGGCUUAGUUUCACCUAUUCACAAUUAUUUCAGUGCAGAUGAAGGAAAAGGAAAUGAGGUAAAGCCAGUCUCUUUAGACAACUGAGUAUCAGCCCAAACUUUAAGUGUUAAAGCUACAACAGCAGCUGAUACUGAUGCUAAUGUUGUGUGGUUCAGAAUGAAAACCUGCGGACCGAGGACGGGACAAUUUCAAAUGCUGCUCCUGACAUCUGCAUUGUGUACAAACUCCAUAUGGAGUGUGGGAGGCUCAUCAACCUGUAUGACUGACAGGAGGCUUACGCUGCUGACUAUGGCAAAGUGGAUGAACUCAAACGGUAUCCUUUAACUGUUGGAAGUUUUAAAAUGCUUGAUCGUGAUGUAUUUUCAAUAUUGCUUUUCAUACCACAUGUCCUACUGCAGUCUUUUUCCCUUUCCCA